rnacentral:rRNA from 1 species
GCAAAUCUCAAAAAGACCGUCCCAGUUCGGAUUGCAGGCUGCAACCCGCCUGCAUGAAGUUGGAAUCGCUAGUAAUCGCGGAUCAGCAUGCCGCGGUGAAUACGUUCCCGGGCCUUGUACACACCGCCCGUCACACCAUGAGAGUCGGGAACACCCGAAGUCCGUAGUCUGACCGCAAGGGGGACGCGGCCGAAGGUGGGUUCGAUAAUUGGGGUGAAGUCGUAACAAGGUAGC